GCCUCGGUGGCGAAAUUGGUAGACGCAAGGGACUUAAAAUCCCUCGGCUGUAAGGCCGUGCCGGUUCGACUCCGGCCCGAGGCACCA
rnacentral:tRNA from 1 species